UACUCCCGCCGGCGACCGGCGCACGGGUGAGUAACACGUAUGAAACCUGCCCGUAGCAGGGGGAUAAGCGGAAGAAAUUCCGUCUAAUACCGCGUAACAACCCGAGGAGGCAUCUCCUCGGGUUUAAAGGAAGCGAUUCCGGCUACGGAUGGUCAUGCGUCGCAUUAGCUAGUUGGCGGGGUAACGGCCCACCAAGGCGACGAUGCGUAGGGGUUCUGAGAGGAAGGCCCCCCACACUGGGACUGAGACACGGCCCAGACUCCUACGGAAGGCAGCAG
rnacentral:rRNA from 1 species